AUAAAACCAGCAAGGAUAUACCUAUAAAGGGGUUCCUAGCCCCAUCUUGUGGUACUUAUCCACAGAAAAAAAAGGAUUUUUCAAGUGGCCCUUCAUUGAAUAUAUAUAUAUAUAUAUAUAUAUAUAUAUAUAUAUAUAUAUAUAUAUAUAUAAUGGUGAAGCACAGGCAGCAGUUUGAGCAUGAAAGAGUGAAGUGGGAGAGAGAAGAGAAAGAAGAUCUAGAAAGAGUGAGUG
rnacentral:lncRNA from 1 species